rnacentral:rRNA from 1 species
CCUACGGGGGGCUGCAGUGAGGAAUAUUGGUCAAUGGACGAGAGUCUGAACCGGCCAAGUAGCGUGAAGGAUGACUGCCCUAUGGGUUGUAAACUUCUUUUAUAUGGGAAUAAAAUGUUCCACGUGUGGGAUUUUGUAUGUACCAUAUGAAUAAGGAUCGGCUAACUCCGUGCCAGCAGCCGCGGUAAUACGGAGGAUCCGAGCGUUAUCCGGAUUUAUUGGGUUUAAAGGGAGCGUAGGUGGAUUGUUAAGUCAGUUGUGAAAGUUUGCGGCUCAACCGUAAAAUUGCAGUUGAAACUGGCAGUCUUGAGUACAGUAGAGGUGGGCGGAAUUCGUGGUGUAGCGGUGAAAUGCUUAGAUAUCACGAAGAACUCCGAUUGCGAAGGCAGUUCACUGGACUGCAACUGACACUGAGGCUCGAAAGUGUGGGUAUCAAACAGGAUUAGAUACCCUAGUUC